AGCAGCCGCGGUAAUUCCAGCUCCAAUAGCGUAUAUUAAAGUUGUUGCAGUUAAAAAGCUCGUAGUUGAAUUUCGGGAUCAAUUUGCUGGUCGUGCCUUCGGUACGCACUGGUAUUAUUGGUUUCUCCUUUCUGAUGAAUCGCGAUGUCAUUAAUUUGGUGUCGUGGGGAAUCAGGACCGUUACUUUGAAAAAAUUAGAGUGUUUAAAGCAGGCUCACGCUUGAAUACAUUAGUAUGGAAUAAUGAAAUAGGACGUUUGAUUCUAUUUUGUUGGUUUCUAGGAUCGACGUAAUGAUUAAUAGGGAUAGUUGGGGGCAUUAGUAUUCAAUUGUCAGAGGUGAAAUUCUUGGAUUUAUUGAAGACUAACUACUGCGAAAGCAUUUGCCAAGGAUGUUUUCAUUAAUCAAGAACGAAAGUUAGGGGAUCGAAGACGAUCAGAUACCGUCGUAGUCUUAACCAUAAACUAUGCCGACUAGGGAUCGGAUGAUGUUAAUUUUUUAAUGUACUCAUUCGGC
rnacentral:rRNA from 1 species